CUCAUAUGGAAAGAAGAUUCAGUAUAAUUAAUGAAGGUUUUGGUGCUAACCUCAUCAACCUCUCUCGACGUUCCAUAGGUUUACGCCCGAAAGAUUCACCUUCAAGAUUUUUGAUACAUUACUAUAAGGGCUAGUCUAGCCGCCAAAAUGUGGGAAUUAACUCCUUCAGAGCGAUUCCUGCAAAAAAAUGCAACUUCUCUUAAACUAGAAAAUCUGUCAAGUUACACUGGUCAUUCUUUUCGUCGCAGUUCGCCAAGUCUCUUGGUUAAUGCAGGUGAAGAUGUUAUUUCAUUAAAGCGAUACGGGGGAUGGGAAUCGUCAAAGGUUGCGGAGUCUUAUAUAGAAGAAUCGUUUGCGGAAAGAGUAAUGAUUGCCAGAAAAGUUUUCAGUGAUGGAACGCAAGCUUGCACUGGAUGAAACACCAGAUGAUACAGUGGAGGCUGAAAAUAGGAGUCCUACCAAGCCCAGAAGUAGUGUCCACGUGUUUCAAUUCACUAAUUGUAUUUUUAAUAUUUCUUGAAAAUAUUGUAAGAAAGAUUAAUAAAAUAUGUCUUGAAUAA